rnacentral:rRNA from 1 species
GACGAACGCUGGCGGCGUGCCUAAUACAUGCAAGUAGAACGCUGAAGGGAGAGCUUGCUCUUCUGGAUGAGUUGCGAACGGGUGAGUAACGCGUAGGUAACCUGCCUGGUAGCGGGGGAUAACUAUUGGAAACGAUAGCUAAUACCGCAUAACAUUGACUAUUGCAUGAUAGUCAAUUGAAAGGUGCAAUUGCACUACUACCAGAUGGACCUGCGUUGUAUUAGCUAGUUGGUGGGGUAACGGCUCACCAAGGCGACGAUACAUAGCCGACCUGAGAGGGUGAUCGGCCACACUGGGACUGAGACACGGCCCAGACUCCUACGGGAGGCAGCAGUAGGGAAUCUUCGGCAAUGGACGGAAGUCUGACCGAGCAACGCCGCGUGAGUGAAGAAGGUUUUCGGAUCGUAAAGCUCUGUUGUAAGAGAAGAACGAGUGUGAGAGUGGAAAGUUCACACUGUGACGGUAUCUUACCAGAAAGGGACGGCUAACUACGUGCCAGCAGCCGCGGUAAUACGUAGGUCCCGAGCGUUGUCCGGAUUUAUUGGGCGUAAAGCGAGCGCAGGCGGUUAGAUAAGUCUGAAGUUAAAGGCUGUGGCUUAACCAUAGUACGCUUUGGAAACUGUUUAACUUGAGUGCAGAAGGGGAGAGUGGAAUUCCAUGUGUAGCGGUGAAAUGCGUAGAUAUAUGGAGGAACACCGGUGGCGAAAGCGGCUCUCUGGUCUGUAACUGACGCUGAGGCUCGAAAGCGUGGGGAGCAAACAGG